rnacentral:lncRNA from 1 species
GGGGCAUUCCCCCUAUAGAACAUAGGGCGCAGUGCUCCUUUGUGGGGCACCCCACUGCCUGGGGUCCUCCAGCCCCAUUGGGGGGGUUGUAUGGUGACCCCCUCCCCCAUUUCUUUUAGGGUCCCCCUAUUACGACAACGUGCGUCCCCUGUGCUACAGCGACUCCGAUGCUGUUCUGCUCUGCUUCGAUGUCAGCCGCCCCGAAACCUUGGACAGCGCAUCCAAAAAGUGGAAGACAGAGAUCCUGGAUUACUGCCCCAACACGCGGCUGCUGCUCAUCGGCUGCAAAACGGACCUGCGGACGGAUCUGAGCACUGUGCUGGAGCUGUCCCACCAAAAGCAGGCGCCCAUCUCCUAUGAGCAGGGUUGCGUGGCAGCCCGGCAGCUGGGAGCUGAGAGCUACUUGGAGUGCUCAGCCUUCACCUCAGAGAAGAGCGUGCACAGCAUCUUCCGCACCGUGUCCAGCAUCUGCCUGAGCAGAGCCCCCCCGCAGCCCCCCCAGAGUCCCCCCCGGGGUCUCUCCAAGCGCCUCCUCCAUCUGCCCACCCGCUCUGAGCUCAUCUCCUCCGCCUUCAAAAAGGAGAAGGCCAAAAGCUGCUCUGUCAUGUGAAGGGGGGGGGGAGGUGUAAGGAUGUGACCCCCCCCCCCCCCCCCCCCCCCACCUCACCAAACCGCCCCCAGGAUGGGCCGGGGGGGCCAAACGAAGCCGCGGUGCCCACCCCCUCCCCCCCCCCCCCCCCCAAUAAGGAUGGGCUGCCUGCUGCCCUCCCAUCACACUGCAUCCCCCAUCGGUGUGUGCUGGAGCCCAGGGCUGGGGGGCAGCCCCAUAGAGCUGUGGGGUGGAAUUCUGGGGGGGCGGGGGGGGCUCAGGGUGACCCCAUAUAGAAGGAUCAGGCUGCUCCUCAGCCCGGAGGGACUCAUCCUUUUCUUUGAAUGCCCCAUUGGUGUCCAGCUCUGCCCCAUCCCUCAUUUUGCUGCUUAACCCCAAGGGUGGGGGGUGGGGGAGGGGUCCUCCA